GGUGUAUAUACCGAUUUUCGUUCGAUCACCGAAGUCAAUCCUCAUAGGGAGCGGUCAGUACUUGGGAGGGUGACCGCCUGGGAACAC